GCUCUUAUGGUGUAAUGGUUAGCACUCUGGACUUUGAAUCCAGCGAUCCGGGUUCAAAUGCCCGGUAGGAGCU
rnacentral:tRNA from 1 species